GACUCUAACAAGCGUAGGACAAGACAACUUCAUCCCCACCCACCUCCUACCCCGCGUUUAUUAUUCACAUCAUUUGGUGUUUUUUUCAAUCGUUUUUUCGAUCGUUUGUCUGUAAUCCUUCAGUCCACAGGAAUGAAGACCAAAUGAAGUGUUUGAUAAACAGUGAGGCACCUGGUAUCAGCAUCAGUCCAGAUCCUGGCUCAGCUAUCGGCUCCUGUAAAUCAUCAUGGGACUAAACCUUACAUGAAAUGAGCCAGGAUGGUGUCUCCCAUGAGGCCGGAGCGCAGGAGGUGUUUCUUGGUGAUGUCAUAAACAGGAAGUUCUACACCAACAACAAUGGCGGCACGCUGAGCUGUGGGGAUCACACCCUGAGGACAAAGAGGAAAGACUCCAAUCAGAAAGCUAGAAUUAAAAUCAAAAGUUAGGUCAGCAAGAAAUCCAAAAUUAACUUUAAAGAACUGAAUGGAAACUGUUGAGGACUUCUAACUCAUAAGCAACCAAACCAUUACAAUUUCAUAUCCGUGACCACUGAAAUGUUGAUUGAUUGAUCAAAUGUUGUGUAUUAUAAGUAG